GGAGAUGUAGCUCAGUGGCAGAGUGUUUGCCUAUCAUGCAUGAAGCCAUAGGUUCAAUACCUAGUACCACCA
rnacentral:tRNA from 1 species